CGCGGUAAUACGUAGGGCGCAAGCGUUAUCCGGAAUUAUUGGGCGUAAAGAGCUCGUAGGCGGUUUGUCGCUCUGCUGUGAAAUCCGGAGGCUCAACCUCCGGCCUGCAGUGGGUACGGGCAGACUAGAGUGCGGUAGGGGAGAUUGGAAUCCUGGUGUAGCGGUGGAAUGCGCAGAUAUCAGGAGGAACACCGAUGGCGAAGGCAGAUCUCUGGGCCGUAACUGACGCUGAGGAGCGAAAGGGUGGGGAGCAAACAGGCUUAGAUACCCUGGUAGUCCACCCCGUAAACGUUGGGAACUAGUUGUGGGGUCCAUUCCACGGAUUCCGUGACGCAGCUAACGCAUUAAGUUCCCCGCCUGGGGAGUACGGCCGCAAGGCUAAAACUCAAAGGAAUUGACGGGGACCCGCACAAGCGGCGGAGCAUGCGGAUUAAUUCGAUGCAACGCGAAGAACCUUACCAAGGCUUGACAUAUACGAGAACGGGCCAGAAAUGGUCAACUCUUUGGACACUCGUAAACAGGUGGUGCAUGGUUGUCGUCAGCUCGUGUCGUGAGAUGUUGGGUUAAGUCCCGCAACGAGCGCAACCCUCGUUCUAUGUUGCCAGCACGUAAUGGUGGGAACUCAUGGGAUACUGCCGGGGUCAACUCGGAGGAAGGUGGGGAUGACGUCAAAUCAUCAUGCCCCUUAUGUCUUGGGCUUCACGCAUGCUACAAUGGCCGGUACAAAGGGCUGCAAUACCGCGAGGUGGAGCGAAUCCCAAAAAGCCGGUCCCAGUUCGGAUUGAGGUCUGCAACUCGACCUCAUGAAGUCGGAGUCGCUAGUAUCGCAGAUCAGCAACGCUGCGGUGAAUACGUUCCCGGGUCUUGUACACACCG
rnacentral:rRNA from 1 species